GUCUUCGUGGUGUAAUGGUCAGCACACUCGACGCGGAUUCAAGAGGUCCGAGGUUCGAGUCUCGGCGAGGGCA
rnacentral:tRNA from 1 species